rnacentral:tRNA from 1 species
UUAAUUGAAACCAAAUAAGAGGUAUAUCACUGUUAAUGAUAUUAUUGAAUAGCAAUUCCAAUUAAA